rnacentral:tRNA from 1 species
AUUUAAAUAGUUUAAAAAAAAUAUUAAUUUGUGGAAUUAAUGAUACUAAUAGUUUUAAAUA